CCAGUCCUUAAAACAAAAGACUUUGACUCCUCCCUGGUGGUUUUGCCUCUCGGGUUAAAGUCCCGAUGGAGUUAAACAUACAGAAUUUAAAGCCGAUAAUAACCCGGAUGUAUCUUUCCCACUAUGUGACCUGAGGCAAAGUAUCUGCCCACUAGAAUGAGCCUCUUCUAGGAAUAUUGCAAUACGACAAAGGUCACAUCACAAAGGCCAAGCGCUGACCACGUUCCUGACAUUGGUGGAUCUUGUAUCUAAAGUGGCAAGUCCGAAGGAAGACUGCAGAAGGCCAGAGUCCGGACAAGGAGGCCAGCCGGGCAAAGAGGCCGAAUCAGAAGCCAACGAGACUCCCAAGACUUCCAGGCUGGAGUGGAAAGGAAGUGUUUUGCUGCUAGAGGCAAGGCAGGAAACAGAACAGACCUGUGUUAGGUGUGAGCCAGUGGAGGCCCUGGAGGAGCCUGGUGAGGCGAGAGUAGGCUGCAGGCCUAUGGUGGAUCUCUGUGGAACCCGUGCUUCCUUCCUCUCUGCCCUACAGAGCAUGUCUGUCUCCCAGGACUGCGGUGCUGGAGGGGAUCGAGAGGGCCAGAAGGCCCUUUAUCCCGUUGAUAACCCGACUUUGGUCUUCAGUGUUCCUGGGAGGCUACUUGGAGGGUCAGAAGAGCGUGGAGCCUGUUAGUGCCGGAGCCUGGUCUACAGCAGGAGUCUUGCUGAGAUGGCCUGGAAGUCUCCUUUGGUGUGUUCGUGUGCAAAAUUUCCAGCAGCAAGUACAGCCUCCUCCUGUCUUCUCGGUAAAAAUAUCUCUGCGAUGAAAUGGAACACAAUGCAAGUUCAGUAGCAGACUGCGGACAAGUGACAUAAAACUGGGAUACGAUGCUGGACAAGCGUUUGGCAAGUUCCGGGAGUUUGUUAUAGUAGGGUUUUGGUAACCACAGACGUCAUUGUCCUGUGUUUAUGGUUGUCUCCUUAGCAUUACAACAUAGAUAUUCACCAGGGGUGAGCUAUUCCCAGCCAGUUUUUCUAUUUCUGUUCAGCUUUUUACAAUUGCUUUUUAUUAGUUAUUCUUUCAGGAUGUCUUGGAGAGCAGCCCCAUAAAAAUUAUUAGUGCCAGCCAUUCGGGAGCUCUUCACAG